rnacentral:rRNA from 1 species
AUUGAACGCUGGCGGCAUGCCUUACACAUGCAAGUCGAACGGCAGCACGGGUGCUUGCACCUGGUGGCGAGUGGCGAACGGGUGAGUAAUACAUCGGAACAUGUCCUGUAGUGGGGAAUAGCCCGGCGAAAGCCGGAUUAAUACCGCAUACGAUCUACGGAUGAAAGCGGGGGACCUUCGGGCCUCGCGCUAUAGGGUUGGCCGAUGGCUGAUUAGCUAGUCGGUGGGGUAAAGGCCUACCAAGGCGACGAUCAGUAGCUGGUCUGAGAGGACGACCAGCCACACUGGGACUGAGACACGGCCCAGACUCCUACGGGAGGCAGCAGUGGGGAAUUUUGGACAAUGGGCGAAAGCCUGAUCCAGCAAUGCCGCGUGUGUGAAGAAGGCCUUCGGGUUGUAAAGCACUUUUGUCCGGAAAGAAAUCCUUGGCCCUAAUACGGUCGGGGGAUGACGGUACCGGAAGAAUAAGCACCGGCUAACUACGUG